ensembl:lncRNA
GUCAUUUUUGAGCGGCGCGUCGGUGUCACUUCUCACAGGAUAAAAUGAAUAAUUAAUACAGUGACAUUUAAACUUAUACAAACUUAAAUCAAAGUUGACAUGUUUGUACCACAAAUCCAAACUUCUACUAAAAUGUUUCAUCCCGGUGAUCUCAUUGUGAACUCUGUAUCAAACGUAUGUGUGUGUCACUCAUUGUGUGUGGCCGGUGUCUUUUUUGGGUGUGUGUGUCGUCUUCGGGUGUGUGUCUGCAGCUCCGAUGACUCUAAUGUAAAUCCAGACAAGCCGGUUCUGAGGAAGCUUGAAAAACCCUUCCUGCGAACCCUGGCAGCCACUCAGUGGGAGAAGAAGAGAAGAAGUACACGCCUCAGCCAGUCCAGGCUGUCCUCGUCUGAUGACAUCAUCCCUCCAGGCCUGCAGCCUGCAGAGGGGGCCAACAGCGUCCCCACUGAAGGGCGACCUCGUCCGAUUUCCACCUCCAGCAGUUUGGACACCAACAGAAACUCUGACUCCCAGAAGGAUCCCGCGUCUGCAUUCCAACAGCAGAGCAGUACUCUGUCCACAAACGAGAAGUUGUACUCCAAGACCUCCAGCUCAGGACCUCAGAGCCCCAGGGCAGCCGCUGCUGCUUCCAACGCCAGCGAAGAAGAAGCCGCCUUCCUGCCCGGUGGAGAUCUGGGAGGACGUGGUCGUGUUUUCGAGCGACUCUCCAACUUCACAACCCGCUCAGUGGAGCCGCCCAAUGAGAGUAGAGCAUCGCGCAGGGCGGAGCUAGAAGGGCUGGAAGGCUCCGCCCAGGCGGCACUGGCCCGCCUUGCUGAAGAACAACAGACCCGUCACCUUCGGCAGCAGAGCAGCGUGGACCUGGACAGCAAUGGCCGCCGUCUGGAGAUGACCCCGAUCACCCCGCUGGGCCCCGGGGGCCCCCCUGAUGCCUGGGACCAGCUGCAGCCCAGUACCGCUGCCUUGCGCAUCAAAGACCUGGAUUUCUCCGACCUGCUGGACGAGGAGGACAUUGAUGUGCUGGACAUGGACUCCUUGGACUCGUCCUCCUCCUGCUUCUCCGGGGUCCCUCCUCCUCCAACGGGCCUAGGUGUUCCCCCUCCUCCUCCUCCUCCUCCUCCACCCGGCCUAGGUGUUCCUCCUCCACCUCCUCC